UCCGGUUUGUCACCGGCAGUCUCCUUAGAGUGCCCACCCGAGGUGCUGGUAACUAAGGACAAGGGUUGCGCUCGUUACGGGACUUAACCCAACAUCUCUCGACACGAGCUGACGACAGCCAUGCAGCACCUGUGUCUGAGUUCCCGAAGGCACCAAUCCAUCUCUGGAAAGUUCUCGACAUGUCAAGGCCAGGUAAGGUUCUUCGCGUUGCAUCGAAUUAAACCACAUACUCCACCGCUUGUGCGGGCCCCCGUCAAUUCCUUUGAGUUUUAACCUUGCGGCCGUACUCCCCAGGCGGAUGACUUAACGCGUUAGCUGCGCCACCGAAGGCCUAAGGCCCCCGACAGCUAGUCAUCAUCGUUUACGGCGUGGACUAC
rnacentral:misc_RNA from 1 species